GACGAACCGUACGAACGUUAUUCGGAAUCACUGGGCUUAAAGGGUGCGUAGGCGGCGCUGAAAGUUGGGUGUGAAAUCCCUCGGCUCAACCGAGGAACUGCAUUCAAAACUACAGUGCUUGAGGGAGACAGAGGUGAGCGGAACUUAGGGUGGAGCGGUGAAAUGCGUUGAUAUCCUAAGGAACACCCGUGGCGAAAGCGGCUCACUGGACCACAACUGACGCUGAGGCGCGAAAGCUAGGGGAGCAAACAGG
rnacentral:rRNA from 1 species